rfam:Schistosoma curassoni strain Dakar, Senegal genome assembly, scaffold: SCTD_contig0000126
GCACUGUUGAAGAAUCCUACAAUAGGAUGAAACGGCCGUCCAGUGC